rnacentral:rRNA from 1 species
AUUGAACGCUGGCGGCAUGCCUUACACAUGCAAGUCGAACGGUAACAGGUCUUCGGAUGCUGACGAGUGGCGAACGGGCGAGUAAUACAUCGGAACGUGCCCGAUCGUGGGGGAUAACGAAGCGAAAGCUUUGCUAAUACCGCAUACGACCUACGGAUGAAAGCAGGGGACCGCAAGGCCUUGCGCGAACGGAGCGGCCGAUGGCAUAUUAGGUAGUUGGUGGGAUAAAAGCUUACCAAGCCGACGAUCUGUAGCUGGUCUGAGAGGACGACCAGCCACACUGGGACUGAGACACGGCCCAGACUCCUACGGGAGGCAGCAGUGGGGAAUUUUGGACAAUGGGCGAAAGCCUGAUCCAGCCAUGCCGCGUGCAGGAUGAAGGCCUUCGGGUUGUAAACUGCUUUUGUACGGAACGAAAAGACUCUGGUUAAUACCUGGGGUCCAUGACGGUACCGUAAGAAUAAGCACCGGCUAACUACGUGCCAGCAGCCGCCGUAACAC